CGCCCCUUUUGCUUCACACCCACAAGUGAACCCAAAAUCAAUACAUCAAAUCCAAUAGCCACAACAAUCACUUCAAGCAAUACCCAGAACAGCUUUCCCAGUAUCAAGAAUACCCAGAUGCUUGAAUUGAAAAAUAACACCCUCCCUUUCACAAAACAACAACAACCUUAACCUUGAAGAUAACAAAAAGAAACAGAAUUGAAACUCAAACACAUAGCACACUGGCAUGCAUGCACAGCACAGGCAAUAGCACCAUCAAAACAUAUGAUCCUUGCAACCUUGAACAAGAAUAAACCAAUAGCCAGAUAGUGAAAAACAUAGAUCUUUUU
rnacentral:misc_RNA from 1 species